rnacentral:rRNA from 1 species
GACGAACGCUGGCGGCGUGCUUAACACAUGCAAGUCGAACGGACAGGCCCUGCUUUUGUGGGGUGCUCGAGUGGCGAACGGGUGAGUAACACGUGAGUAACCUGCCCUUGACUUUGGGAUAACUUCAGGAAACUGGGGCUAAUACCGGAUAGGAGCUCCUGCUGCAUGGUGGGGGUUGGAAAGUUUCGGCGGUUGGGGAUGGACUCGCGGCUUAUCAGCUUGUUGGUGGGGUAGUGGCUUACCAAGGCUUUGACGGGUAGCCGGCCUGGGAGGGUGACCGGCCACAUUGGGACUAAGAGACGGCCCAGACUCCUACGGGAGGCAGCAGUGGGGAAUAUUGCACAAUGGGCGGAAGCCUGAGACAGCAACGCCGCGUGCGGGAUGACGGCCUUCGGGUUGUAAACCGCUUUCGCCUGUGACGAAGCGUGAGUGACGGUAAUGGGUAAGGAAGCACCGGCUAACUACGUG